ensembl:lncRNA
GUUGAAACAGCCUACUUUUGGAUCUAGAACUGCACAAGCCGUUCAUUUUCAGUCACCUGACGAGUUAAACUCCCCUUUUUAUGUGAGGUUGAAGCAGAAAGUCUGAGUUAACAAAGAAAGUUCUUUAUAAUUUGCAAUACCUGUUAUCUCUGACUGAGGCUUUAGUUUUAGUUGAACUGAUUUAUGCCUAGAAACUUUGUUCAGGAAGAUUUCUCAGUAGCUCAGAGGAUAGGCUGCUUUUUACACAACCUUGUAAGAGAAUGUCUGUCAGUGCUUUCAGCAGAAUUUAGAAACACAACACUUCCUAAACAGAUAUUUUGAGGCUGUGAGGCUGAACGUUUGAGAGUAUAUAUGAAAUAGAAACACACAAGUAUCUGAUUGAAGGAACUUCUGUAGAGUCCUGGUUCCAGAAGAUGAUGAUAGAAUUAUAGACAAACUUUAACAAAAGCUGCCUGAGAGUUUACAGGUUUUUAAUGUUAGAUUUAUUCAGUAAUUUAAUGAGUUAUCAGCAAAAAUCGUGUUCAUUUGAUGAACUUCAUUUCCUAAAACAUCCAGAAUUGGAGCUCAUAUCUUUGGCAGCUGUAAAGUUUCUGCUCCUUCAAAGUUCACAACACAAUGAAUUAAUUCCUAAAACACUCUCAAUGCUGGAGAGCGUUUGUGAUGCUGAAGCAGUGACCAGUUUUUCUGUUUCUUCUCUGGAGAUGCACAAUGAGGGACGUCUGCAGCGACUGAGAAAGAGUCUCACCACAUCCUGACAUGAGGAAAAAGACUUUAUUGAAGACUACAAUGAGAAAAACUAUCAGACAGCAGACGGCUGCAUUCAAGAGAGGAAGACCAUCAAACAUCCACGUCAGCUGAUGGAGGUCCAAGAGUCUCACCAAACAAACAACCUACAGACGUGUGCCGAGUAAUGGAGGGGGCGUUUCCAUGAAGCACGUAUCGAGGCUUGCUUCAUUUAGGGGAGGAGCCAAAAUGAUGACGUCCGAAGCCUCACUGCCUGGCUGAACCACGUGACUGCUUCGGAAAGGGGUUCAGAUUUUGCCGUGAGGUUUGACAGCAACAUAAACCCCUAAGGCUCCGUUCAAAAUGUGGGAUUUUGAUAGAGAGUUGCGGUCAGUUGAGAGUUUGAAUAGCUUGAAUACUAGAGUCUGGAGAGUGUUUAUAUAGUCUGGAUAUAGUUUGGAGAUUUUAGAGAGUAGAAAGAUAGUUUGGAGAUUUAGGAGAGUGAGGAGAGAAGGAUGGGUUUUAGGAAGGAGCCAGCUAGGAAGAGGAGGAUUUCCCCUGUGUGGGAACAUUUCAAUUUGAUGAUUCCUAAUCAGGUAAGCUGAAUCUAACAUUAUUACAGACGCAUUAGCUUUGGUUACCAAGAACUGUAUUUUUCACUGUUAUUUUAUUCAAAGGUGAGGUGAUUAUUGUGUGUGUCAAAAAAGGAAUAGUUUAAAACCAAAAACUGUUGAGAAACUGUUAUUUCUGAAUAAAAGGAAUAAACUGUCCCCUUUCCUGUGCAUCAUUGUCCAAGUUACACAGCAUAUUCAGUAGGAUCUUCCUAGUUCCACACUUUCACUGUCCUUUGCCUGCUUAAGGCCAUGGCAUUUUCUUAAAGUGACAGAAAAUCAUUACACAACCUGCCACAUUAUAUGAUUCUACCAUUUUGGGGAAAAUUCACACACACAGAAUACAUGAAAAUAUAUUUUAUUCUACACGUGAGAAUUUAUCUACAGAAAUUAUUUGGUCAUACAUUUUCUUAUAUUUCAUAGUCAUUCCCAACAGCCAUAACAGAUAAAAAUUCAAUGCAUCAGACAUGUGGUUCAGAUACAGCUGCCUGUGAUUAUACACCUGGCCAGUAGGUGGCUUCGUGUGCUCAUGAAGCUUCAAGAAAUGAAGCGUUUUUCUAACCAAUUGGCUCAAGUGGUUCAAUGCCUCAUGAGGCUUCAUCUCACCAGAACUACUACAGAGUGAAGACCUCAAAUCUGAUUGGAUGGCCUCCUAUUCAGCCACGUGUGAACAAAUGCCUCUAAGCUGAUUUGUUUUCUAAAAUACAUCUAGUUUGAGUCCUAAUCUAUGCCUGUGUGUUUGCUUCUUUACACCGCUGUUAACAGUUUAGGCUGUUAGAUUGUUCCAGAUAAGACAAGUACAAGAUUCUUCAGAGCUGUUCUACCACGAGCCUGACAGGAAGAAAUCCAACAGCUACUGAAUGUUCCUGUGGUUCCCUCAAGGCUACAGGAGGAGCCCUACGAGGACGAGCCGGUCCACCUGAUGGCGGCCAGUCGCUGCGGUUCAAAGCCAACACCGACUACAUGGACUUCUACUGGACCACACGGAGGCCUUCAAACCGGACCAACAAGUUCAGCGACUCCCCGACUUGUGGGUCUGAGGACGUCACCGAGCCUCGGUCCAGCCGGCCUCCUGUCUGUGGGUGUUUGAGUGCUGAGAGGUUUGUGGAUGCAUGUGAACGUGUCUGUGUUGAAACAGCAGCUUUUGACUCAGUAACGCCGGGAAAAACCAAGAGCUCCUUUAUUUGUGACUUCCACUAAAAAAACUGAUGAAAAUAAGUUUGCCAGGGUUCUGACUGAUAACAGAUUAUUAAAUAAUGAAAAUAAAAAUUUAAAUAUUCCUUUAAACAAUCCUUUUAGGUCUACGUUUCCUUUACACUGACUUCUUGGUAUUUUGGGUGGAAUAUACCAUUAAGCCCGAUGUUCAAGGGUUCUUCUGGGAAUAUACCAAUAAACCAACCUUUUAAGUAAAUGUUCCAGGAUGUUGGGUAGAAUGUACCAUCAGAUAAACCUUUUAGGUCUACAUUGGAAGACUUUAGAAUAUUACUCCAAACCAUCCUUUAGGUCUACAUUUAAGGUGGAAUACUCCUUUACACCAAGAUUUUUUUUGGUCUACAUUGAAAGAUUUUAGGUGGAAUAUUCCUUUGAACCAACUUUUUAAGUUUAUGUUCAAGGAUGUUGGGUGGAAUAUACCAUCAGACCAACCUCCAAGGUCUACAGUAGUGAAUUUUAAGUGGAAUAUACCAUUAAACUCACCUUUUAGGUCUACAUUGGAGGAUUUUAGGUGGAAUUUUCUUCCAAACCGUCUUUUAAUCUACAUUUAAGGAUGUCUAGGAUGGUAUAUUCUUCCAAACCAACUUCUCAGGUCUACAUUUCAGGUGGAAUAUUCCUCCAUACUAACUUUUUUGGUCCACAUUGAAGAAUUUUUCUAAACCACCCUUUCGGGUCUAUAUUUGGGGUUUUAGGUGGAAUAUUCCUUUUAACCAGCCCCUCAGGUCUCUGAGGAUUUUGGAUGAAAUACUCGGUUAAAGCAACAUUUUAGGUGCAUGUCCAAGGAUUUUUGCUGGAAUGUUCCUUUAAGGUGGAUGUUUGAGGACCUUGUAGGUGGAAUACUUCCUGAAACCAACCUUUUAGGUCAACAUUCAAAGAUUUAAGGUGGAAUAUUCCUUUAAACCAACCUAAAUUUCAUGUUUUGAUCAUUAUCAAGUGAGAAACCUCAAUCCAGACUCCUCAUAAUGACGUUUGAGAUUUAUGCUGCUGUUAUUUGUUUAGUCCAGACUAAAUGACAGAAAUCUACAACUGUAAUUUUAUUUCAGGACUCAGUUAUUAAAUGUCAAAACAAUCCAUGUGACUCUAAAAACUCAACAGCUUUACAAACUCUAAGAUUAAACUCUCCACAAGGAUCCAAAAUAAGUUGGACUUCUACACGAGAGCUUUAAUUAUUCUUCAUCUACUUCCUGAAAAGUUUGGUCAAUAAAAAAGACAAAAACUAAUAUUUUUAGCUGAACUAAAGACAGACUUUGUGAUUUUUUUGCUCACAUGUUGUGUUGUUGUAAACUUACUCUUUCAAAUAAAUAGCCUCCUAACCCCCUGGAAACCAGUGUUUGUC